UGGUUCUGGCAUCGAUGAAGAACGCAGCGAAAUGCGAUAAGUAAUGUGAAUUGCAGAAUUCAGUGAAUCAUCGAAUCUUUGAACGCACAUUGCGCCCGCCAGUAUUCUGGCGGGCAUGCCUGUUCGAGCGUCAUUUCAACCCUCGAGCCCGACUCUUUGGAGGACGGCCCGGCGUUGGGGACCGGCAGACUGCCCCGCACCUCCGGGUGUGGGACGCCGCCCCCGAAAUUUAGUGGCGGCCCUCUGAGGCGACCUCUGCGUAGUAACUCACCUCGCACUGGAAACAUUAGAGUGGCCACGCCGUAAAACACCCAACUUUUUUUCAGGUUGACCUCGAAUCAGGUAGGACUACCCGCUGA
rnacentral:misc_RNA from 1 species